GACCUUUACGAGUUUUGCACUUCCGGGUAGACAGGAGCGUGAGGAAGAAGGAGCUGAGAGUCAAUGGAGCAGCUAACAGAGGAAUGGUGUGUCUUCACUGUCGUGUUUUAUAAGUAACAGACUGUGAACUGUUGUCGGACGACGUGCUGUGAGUGUGCGACUUCGACUCUCCAUCGCAGUCGCAGUGUUUGGGUGUUUCUGGACAAGAAGCAAGUUCGGCUAAGCUAGCUGGCAGGAGCUAGGCUAGCGACACGGUCAUUGCCGAGAGGAGGCCUGCGCUGACGGGAGGAGCGGUGCCGGGCCGCCACGGAGAGUGUCGCCGACGGAGGGCGCUUCGCUGCUACCGAGGGAGACGGAGGUUCCUGGCUGUGAGGUUGCCGCCGCGACAACGUAGCGACUCAUCAGCUGGGCCUGGUCCUGUUGACUUCGCCGACACACUGAGGAGGAGAUGAAGGCCCAGCACUGCUGUUUGAAAAUGUAGACCGGACAAGCCCAGAAGAGGAAGAACCCAAAAACAACAGACACAAUUGCCAUCUUGACAGAUCUGCCCUGUGCCGGAUGACAAGGAAAGGCUCCAUGCUGGGCACGACACGGCCGCUUGACAGUAUGCAUCCGCCAUGUCACCACGGCUCCCAUAUGGAAACCUUCCACCACCACCGGAGAGGGCGGGGGGUGGAGGCAGCCGGGCAGUGGGGCAUUUGGAGGCACUAAGGUCCUGAUGCCAGCAAAGGUCAGAGCCAGUGAUUUAUUGGCCCUCUUCUGGGAGGCCGUCUGUGGACCUGAGAUGCCUGCCGUGGCCCUGGAUCGCAGCCAACAUCCCUGACACCACCACCAUGCUGCCAGCAGAUGAAAAGCUUGUUUCACUUAUUUGGUGCAUAUUUCAUAUUCUAUAUGCAUCUGACGGAUUACACAGAUACCCCGACAUGACGAUUUAUUAGCUCAACAUGAUGUGUCUGUUAAAUGGAUGAGCACCUUUAGUUUUCACAGUGGACGGCUGCAGAGUUCAACCUUUAGGCUGUCAAACUGGAUCUGAGGGUUAGACAUUUUUACAUUGCUGCUGUUAAAGGUAAAAAGACUGUUGCCAGGGGUUUUUUCCCCAUUGAAUUAAGUGGUACGUUAACCACGGAGCCUGUUGUCACCUCAAUCCCGUUCCUGAGGUCCUGCCAAAACAAUAAAGUUUGGUACAUUAUUCGGACCGCUCGAAAUGCAACGUUUUCAUGAAUGUUGCUUUCAGGCUAUUCUGCUGAUAGACAGCUGAAAUAGAAAGUGCAAGGAUGAGAGGCAGCAUGCCAGCAAUAGCAGUGAACAGAUGAGUAAGCAAACAAACAUGGUUGGGGAAAAAAAAUGCACAACUUAAAAAUAUUCACAAAAUCAACCUCACAAAUAUUUUAAUAAGAAAAGAAAACGCUUGCAAUAUGUUUGUUAGACCUUGAGGAUACACAUGGUUGUUAUGCUGAGAAUCACUAAAUGUAAACAAACUUUUGUGUUUUAACAUGGAAGCUCCACAGGUUAGCUUCAAUAAUGGCUGCAUUCCUUUUAGGUGUUCUGUUCGCUGACUCAUCGGCAUGGAUUAUUUGUUUAAUUUCUUAAGGGAUCACGGGGCGAUAACAGACAGAAGCUCGUUCUCAUCUGCGUUUCCCUGGGAGGUUAUGAUUAAGCCAUUCACAGAAAAGCACUACGGUAACCAAAGUAGACAAACAGAACACAAGAUACAUGCAAGAUAAUGCACGUUAUGAAAUUUAAUGCAAUUUACACUGACAGCCAAGAAUCUCUGUAACAUUCGAUCAUACCCCCUAGUUCUAAAUAAAUCACUCAAAAUUAGGUGUAGAUGAUGCAGAGGUCCUGCUCCACAUCUGUACCUGAUUAUUAAAA